rnacentral:rRNA from 1 species
UACGUAGGGUCCGAGCGUUGUCCGGAAUUACUGGGCGUAAAGAGCUCGUAGGUGGUUUGUCGCGUUGUUCGUGAAAACUCACAGCUUAACUGUGGGCGUGCGGGCGAUACGGGCAGACUGGAGUACUGCAUGGGAGAAUGGAAUUCCUGGUGUAGCGGUGAAAUGCGCAGAUAUCAGGAGGAACACCGGUGGCGAAGGCGGUUCUCUGGCCCUUACCUGACACUGAGGAGCGAAAGCGUGGGGAGCGAACAGG